rnacentral:rRNA from 1 species
UACGUAGGGGGCAAGCGUUAUCCGGAUUUACUGGGUGUAAAGGGCGCGUAGGCGGUAGCACAGGUCAGUUGUGAAAUCUCCGGGCUUAACUCGGAAAGGUCAACUGAUACUGUGCGACUAGAGUGCAGAAGGGGCAACUGGAAUUCUCGGUGUAGCGGUGAAAUGCGUAGAUAUCGAGAGGAACACCUGCGGCGAAGGCGGGUUGCUGGGCUGACACUGACGCUGAUGCGCGAAAGCCAGGGGAGCGAACGGG